rnacentral:rRNA from 1 species
GACGAACGCUGGCGGCGUGCUUAACACAUGCAAGUCGAACGGAAAGGCCCUGCUUUUGUGGGGUGCUCGAGUGGCGAACGGGUGAGUAACACGUGAGUAACCUGCCCUUGACUUUGGGAUAACUUCAGGAAACUGGGGCUAAUACCGGAUAGGAGCUCCUGCUGCAUGGUGGGGGUUGGAAAGUUUCGGCGGUUGGGGAUGGACUCGCGGCUUAUCAGCUUGUUGGUGGGGUAGUGGCUUACCAAGGCUUUGACGGGUAGCCGGCCUGAGAGGGUGACCGGCCAAAUUGGGACUGAGAUACGGCCCAGACUCCUACGGGGGGCAGCAGUGGGGAAUAUUGCACAAUGGGCGGAAGCCUGAUGCAGCAACGCCGCGUGCGGGAUGACGGCCUUCGGGUUGUAAACCGCUUUCGCCUGUGACGAAGCGUGAGUGACGGUAAUGGGUAAAGAAGCACCGGCUAACUACGUG